AACGAACGCUGGCGGCAGGCUUAACACAUGCAAGUCGAACGCAUCCUUCGGGGUGAGCGGCAGACGGGUGAGUAACGCGUGGGAACGUGCCCUUCAGUUCGGGAUAACCCAGGGAAACUUGGGCUAAUACCGGAUACGUGCGAGAGCAGAAAGAUUUAUCGCUGAAGGAUCGGCCGGCGUCUGAUUAGCUAGUUGGUGGGGUAAUGGUCCACCAAGGCGACGAUCAGUAGCUGGUCUGAGAGGAUGAUCAGCCACAUUGGGACUGAGACACGGCCCAAACUCCUACGGGAGGCAGCAGUGGGGAAUAUUGGACAAUGGGCGCAAGCCUGAUCCAGCCAUGCCGCGUGAGUGAUGAAGGCCUUAGGGUUGUAAAGCUCUUUCGUCCGGGACGAUAAUGACGGUACCGGAAGAAGAAGCCCCGGCUAACUUCGUGCCAGCCGCCGCCGUAA
rnacentral:rRNA from 1 species